UACGGAAGGCAGCAGUGGGGAAUAUUGCACAAUGGGCGAAAGCCUGAUGCAGCUAUGCCGCGUGUAUGAAGAAGGCCUUAGGGUUGUAAAGUACUUUCAUCGGGGAGGAAAAAACAAAACUAAUAAUUUUAUUUCUUGACGUUACCCGAAAAAGAAGCACCGGCUAACUCCGUGCCAGCAGCCGCGGUAAUACGGAGGGUGCUAGCGUUAAUCAGAAUUACUGGGCGUAAAGAGCACGUAGGUGGUUUUUUUAAGUCAGAUGUGAAAUCCCUGGGCUUAACCUAGGAACUGCAUUUUGAAACUGAAAUACUAGAGUAUCGUAGAGGGAGGUAGAAUUCUAGGUGUAGCGGUGAAAUGCGUAGAUAUCUGGAGGAAUACCUGUGGCGAAAGCGGCCUCCUAAACCGAAUACUGACACUGAGGUGCGAAAGCGUGGGGAGCAAACCAGGGAUUAGAUACC
rnacentral:rRNA from 1 species